rnacentral:rRNA from 1 species
GAUGAAGGACGUUGUAGCCUGCGAAAAGGCUCGGUGAGGUGGCAAACAACCUGUGACCCGGGCAUGUCCGAAUGGGGAAACCCACUCAUCACAAGAUGAGUAUCCCGCACUGAAUUCAUAGGUGCCGGGAGGCGAACCGGGGGAACUGAAACAUCUAAGUACCCCGAGGAAAAGAAAUCAACCGAGAUUCCCUCAGUAGCGGCGAGCGAACGGGGACCAGCCCUUAAGUCAAUGCACGGUUAGGUGAACGGCCUGGAAAGGCCGGCCAUAGUGGGUGAUAGCCCCGUAACCGAAAACCCGCAUUGGUGAAAUCGAGUAGGUCGGGGCACGUGAAACCUUGACUGAAGACGGGGGGACCAUCCUCCAAGGCUAAAUACU